rnacentral:rRNA from 1 species
GACGAACGCUGGCGGCGUGCCUAAUACAUGCAAGUGGGACGCAAGGAAACACACUGUGCUUGCACACCGUGUUUUCUUGAGUCGCGAACGGGUGAGUAACGCGUAGGUAACCUGCCUAUUAGCGGGGGAUAACUAUUGGAAACGAUAGCUAAUACCGCAUAAUAUUAAUUAUUGCAUGAUAAUUGAUUGAAAGAUGCAAGCGCAUCACUAGUAGAUGGACCUGCGUUGUAUUAGCUAGUUGGUAAGGUAAGAGCUUACCAAGGCGACGAUACAUAGCCGACCGGAGAGGGUGAUCGGCCACACUGGGACUGAGACACGGCCCAGACUCCUACGGGAGGCAGCAGUAGGGAAUCUUCGGCAAUGGACGAAAGUCUGACCGAGCAACGCCGCGUGAGUGAAGAAGGUUUUCGGAUCGUAAAGCUCUGUUGUAAGUCAAGAACGUGUGUGAGAGUGGAAAGUUCACACAGUGACGGUAGCUUACCAGAAAGGGACGGCUAACUACGUG